AACGCACGAGACCUGCGGACCUGCGGAGGGAUCAUUACUGAGUACCGGAGCCUUCGGGUUCCUACUCCCACCCUAUGUUGACUUUGAAUGUUGCUUUGGCGGACCGGUGGUCUCACCGCUGGCCUAGGCUAGAGAGCGUCCGCCAGAGGAUUUUGAACUCUGUUUAACGGUGAAUUCUGAGUCUUGAUAAAUGAAUCAAAACUUUCAGCAAUGGAUCUCU
rnacentral:misc_RNA from 1 species